rnacentral:rRNA from 1 species
UACGUAGGGCGCAAGCGUUGUCCGGAAUUAUUGGGCGUAAAGAGCUUGUAGGCGGUUUGUCGCGUCUGCCGUGAAAUUUCGAGGCUCAACCUCGAACUUGCGGUGGGUACGGGCAGACUAGAGUGUGGUAGGGGAGACUGGAAUUCCUGGUGUAGCGGUGAAAUGCGCAGAUAUCAGGAAGAACACCAAUGGCGAAGGCAGCUCUCUGGGACGGUACUGACGCUGAGGAGCGAAAGCGUGGGGAGCGAACAGG